rnacentral:lncRNA from 1 species
AUUUGAAGGAAUUUGUUUUGGCCGUCGUCGUCGUUUUGCCGUCCUACAUGCUUCCAUCAACAAUUACAGCCUUUCAACUAUUGAAUCGAGUGGGAUGCCAACAAAAUCUUGAUAUUUACCUAUAUCAUUUUCACACUCUCAUGUGUAGCUGUCAAUACAUUCGAAGUUGAUCGCAAAACCCACUGUACAGCUUUGAAGUACGCUGUAUGGCCUUCCUAUAUAAAACCAUGUUUAUUUUCUAUGUUUGAAGUUACAUUAUUUACAUGGACUUCUUAGUUUCAUCACUUUCUACCGAUUCCUUGUUUUCGCUUUCCUUGUUUUCGUUUUCCUUGUUUUCGUUUUCCUUGCUCGUGUUUUCACCGGACGCGCCAUCGGUUUUUUUAUUAUUCAACGCGUCUUCAGUAUGGUCUUGAUAUCUGGAUUAAAUAAAAUAGAAAUAGAAUUAUAAUUCUUGUCUAUUGGCCG